AUUGAACGCUGGCGGCAGGCCUAACACAUGCAAGUCGAGCGAGUGGCGGACGGGUGAGUAAUGUCUGGGAAACUGCCUGAUGGAGGGGGAUAACUACUGGAAACGGUAGCUAAUACCGCAUACCAUCGGAUGUGCCCAGAUGGGAUUAGCUAGUAGGUGGGGUAAAGGCUCACCUAGGCGACGAUCCCUAGCUGGUCUGAGAGGAUGACCAGCCACACUGGAACUGAGACACGGUCCAGACUCCUACGGGAGGCAGCAGUGGGGAAGAUUGCACAAUGGGCGCAAGCCUGAGACAGCCAUGCCGCGUGUAUGAAGAAGGCCUUCGGGUUGUAAAGUACUUUCAGCGAGGAGGCGUUACCCGCAGAAGAAGCACCGGCUAACUCCGUGCCAGCAGCCGCGGUAAUAC
rnacentral:rRNA from 1 species